CAAAUCAAUCAACUCGGCUCGGCGCACAUGGCCCGAUUCCACAACUCUUUAAUUCCCCAUACCUUUUUUCCAACAUCCAUUUAUACCCCCUUUCCAUUGCUCAUUUCAUGCCCUCAUUCUUCAUUCAACUAUCUUCUUCUUUUUUUUUUCUUCCUCUCUCAACUUUGCUAUCUUCUUUUUUUUUAUUUCUAAAACCCUAGUCACAUUUUUGUAUGUAUUAUAAUUAAUUUAUUUUUUUAUUAAUAAAGUGUGAAGGCACAUAUACAUUAUUUUUUAAUAAAUUAAUUUUUGAUGGGUUGCAAAGAUUUGUCAAAAGUGAAGUGGAGGAGGAGAAGGAGGAAGGAGUUAGUUGGGAGGAAGAUGAAGAAAUUGCAAAGGAUAAUUCCGGGAGGCGGCGGGUUGAAGGCGGACCGCCUUUUUCUUCAGACGGCGGAGCACAUCUUGCAAUUGAGGUUGCAACUAAAUGCAUUGCAGGCUCUUACCAAGAUCUUCAACGCCUGAUUAUUACAAACCUUAAUUACCACGGUUUAUAAAGUCAGCUGCAGUCUAUAUUACACAUACAGGGAUUGCUCAAAGCGUUAUUUAUGUGUGUGUGUAUAUAGUUAUAGUUCAUCAUUAAGCUUAAGAUGAAGUACUAGCUAUAGUCAACAAAAAAGAAGCAAUGGUCAAUAAAAAAUAGAAGAGUUUAAUUAAUAAUUAACACAUGGGUAUGGAGAAUUCGCCAUGUUGAUCACAGAGGCAAAGCUAAAAUGAUAAGGAAAGAAGGGAGAAGGAUCACAGCAUUAAUUUUGACCAAUUAAGACAGUCUUAAUUUAACUGCUGACCAGUCAACAAACAAUAUGAUCAUUUAAAUACAUAAAUAUUAUGAAUAGUGAUUAACAUGCUUUAAAUUUUUUUUUAAUGUAAUAAAAGAAUAAUUGCAUUACUCAAAUUAGUAUUAUUAUUUUUC